CGGUACGUCAUUAGCCGAGGAUUAACCCAGACCGUUUCCUUCCGUAUAAAGCACUUUACAACCCGAAGGCCUUCUUCCUUCACGCGGCAUUGCUGGAUCAGGCUUGCGCCCAUUGUCCAAAAUUCCCCACUGCUGCCUCCCGUAGGA
rnacentral:rRNA from 1 species